UGCACGGUGGCGCAGUUGGUAGCACUGUUGCUUUGCAGUGCUAGAAGUGCUAGAAGCAAGAAGGUCCUGGGUUCAAUUCCCGGCCGGGGGUCUUUCUGCAU